rnacentral:rRNA from 1 species
UACGUAGGUGGCAAGCGUUAUCCGGAAUUAUUGGGCGUAAAGCGAGCGUAGGCGGUUUUUUAAGUCUGAUGUGAAAGCCCGCGGCUCAACCGUGGAGGGUCAUUGGAAACUGGAAAACUUGAGUGCAGAAGAGGGGAGUGGAAUUCCAUGUGUAGCGGUGAAAUGCGCAGAUAUAUGGAGGAACACCAGUGGCGAAGGCGGCUUUCUGGUCUGUAACUGACGCUGAGGUGCGAAAGCGUGGGGAGCAAACAGG